rnacentral:antisense_RNA from 1 species
ACUCCUCCUCGAUGCCCCGCCCUUCCCGCCCGCGGCUCACUCUCCACGGUGAGUUUGGCCUGUGUCUUGUCAUCCGGCGUCUCGCAGCCAAAGAAGCCACGGUCGGCAAAACCUACGUUGUGCAGAACCAGGCGGUGGCGGGCGCCCUCGGCGUGGAUCUCCACGUUCUUUCCCGGCGCCAGGGCCGUCGCGUUCCGUGUCCACCUCAGCUCCGGCCACGGCCGCGUCAGCUCCACCUCCAGGGUCACCGAGCUCCGCUCCUCCACCGUCUGCGGCUCCAGCUUCUUUUUGAACAGCACAGGCGCCUCUGGGGUCGCAGGAGAGGGGAGGUCACGGUGGCCCUCGCCCUCCUCCACGGACAAGCCAAGGUACAGAGGGCCCGCACAGCCCCGGCGCCUGCCCUGAGCCGGGCCCAGGCAGAGCUGCCGGCACCGCGCCCCGGGAUCCCAAUCCAAACAGCGCGGCCCUGGCCACACGCGGGCCGCAGCUGCGCACCCUCACGGGUGCGACUUUAAGCGAGGAAACCAGGGAGCUUCCUUAAGCCCCGCUCCCACCUCCAGCUCCCCUGCUCUGAACAAGACGCCAGGCCCUUGUGCCUCGAAAUCCUAGACGUGAUCCCCACUAGUAGCACUGGCAGGAACUGCAGAGGGGGGGAAGACAGAGCUUCCCCAGGCGCAACGGCGGUUUAGCAAAGCCCAGGACUCCUGCGCAGGUUAAGGAAGAGGCGCUGGCGGGCCUCUCUGCCUCAGGCCACCCGUCAACUCCGCAGAAGGUGAAUCUGCUGCAUCACUCCCUUACUCUAGAACCUGCCAUGACUCCCACUUCCCUUCAGGGCAAGUUCUGGCUUCUGGCUUCAGCAGCAUGGGAAGCCCAUGUCACUGCUUGCACUGGUGCUAACCCCACUCUCUCUUCCCUGCCAUCCAUCAGGCUAAGUAUGCACCCACCUACUCCAGAAAGCCUCCCUGGAUUGCCUCAGCCUCCACCCAUUCCCCACCAGGUGCACCUGCAGGAUUGUAUCUUCUCUAUACCAAGAGAAGGCACCUGGCCCAUCCAGCCUACCCGAGUCUCCUCUCUGCAGCCCACACACCUCGUGUCUCCUGAGGUCAGCCGGACCAGCUGUAACAGGACAGCAGUUCCAGGUGCCCACUCAGAACCAGCCCACAGGGGAGGUGCCUGUGCAAGGAGCCCUGGCCAGCCAGGCAAAUCCUGCUGCCCCCCACACUCACCUCGGACCCUCAGGGCAGCAGAGGAUGAGGCGCCCUCAGCCUCCACGGUGAUCUGGCCCACGUCCUCCAGCACCAGGUCUGAGAUGGUCAGGCUGUGGCUGGCGCCACUCUGUGAUAUGGCAAACUUCUCGCUGGGCUGAAGCAGGGCACCGUCCCGGAACCACACGACUGCCACAUCACUGGGGGACACCACGCACUGGAAGGUGGCCUCGCCGCCCUCCUCUGCGACCACGGUGCUCAGCCCAGACAUAAACUUCA